UACGGAGGGGGCUAGCGUUGUUCGGAAUCACUGGGCUUAAAGGGCGCGUAGGCGGGCUCUCAAGUCCGGGGUGAAAUCCCACAGCUCAACUGUGGAACUGCCUCGGAUACUGGGGGCCUCGAGGGUGGUAGGGGUAUGCGGAACUAUCGGUGGAGCGGUGAAAUGCGUUGAUAUCGAUAGGAACUCCGGUGGCGAAGGCGGCAUACUGGACCACAUCUGACGCUGAGGCGCGAAAGCCAGGGGAGCAAACGGG
rnacentral:rRNA from 1 species